GCACACAGAGGGCGACUGCAGCUUGGGCGCCCAGGCGGCGGAGCAUGGUCUGGGUGGCCUCUGGAAUGCGUGCGCGCCAGACCUGAGGGCCCUCCUGCUGGUGCCACCUGACCCGGUCUUCCUCUGCUGGAGCCUGGAGCAGCUGGAAUGGCCACUCUGCAGUCACAGGGGAUAGAGUUAAGUUUUCUUAUCCCAGGCAUGCACACAAAAAGACAGAGUCUCGCUCUUGUCACCCAGGCUGGAUGCAGCAUCCUGCUACUGGAUAUGUAGAUAAAAGAGAAGUAUUACAUCUUUGAGAUAUGGAAUCAACCUAAGUGCUGCUCUAAGCAUACAAGUGCAGGUGAAAUGCUCAUUGCAGUGCUGCAAAAAGGUGAGGUCACAGGACACAAACCCAUAUCUGAGACCUGGAUGCCUUCCUCCACGCACUCACCCACUGGCUGUCCUGAGCAUCACCCUGCACCUAUUGUCACAGCAACAAGGGAAAAAUCAGCAUAGUGGUCAAGUCCAUUGUCAGCUUCUGACACUGCCUCUUACAAGGAGGUGACUUUGGAAAUGUCAUUCAGCCUUCCUGUGCCUGAGAUCGCCUCACCUGUCAAAUGGGAACAAUAAAGCACUUCAAAGAA
rnacentral:lncRNA from 1 species